rnacentral:piRNA from 1 species
UUCCGAUAAUUUUCCAUGUUG